UACGGAGGGGGCGAGCGUUAUUCGGAAUUAUUGGGCGUAAAGGGCGCGUAGGCGGCUUGGUAAGUCAAAGGUGAAAUCCCUCGGCUCAACUGAGGAAUUGCCUUUGAAACUGCCUGGCUUGAGGCCGGGAGGGGGUAGCGGAAUUCCCAGUGUAGCGGUGAAAUGCGUAGAUAUCUGGAGGAACACCGGUGGCGAAGGCGGCAUCCUGGACCGAUACUGACGCUGAGGAGCGAAAGCCAGGGGAGCAAACGGG
rnacentral:rRNA from 1 species